rnacentral:rRNA from 1 species
CCCGUACCACUCUGAGCACACCCGACCUCAGCUGAUCUUGGAAGCUAAGCAGGGUCCGGCCUGGUUAGAACUUGGGUGGGAGACAGUAAUCUUGGUAGGAAAAAAAA